UCGUUCUCAUACUGUGUCUCGUCGUGCGCUGCAGGAGAAGGAGAGAAAGCGUCGAAUAGAAGACUGAUGAUUUAGAUAGUGAAAAGACAGUGCUCCCCGCUGACGCAGUAUACUCGCCGCGCGACCAGCCAAGGACCGCUGCAGUUUCGCGGGUAGGAGCUGGGGGUCCGGAGCGAGGCGUCGGGGGAAUGGGGGGAACGGGGGCGCGGUACUCCCCUGGCGCGCUACAAGUGCGUCGUGCAGCCGUCGUGCUGCAACCCCCCACCACCGUGUGAGCUGCACAGGCAGCAAUUUCGUCGUUGGAAAAAGAAGCCAAAGAAAACGUUUAUGCGGUACACGAUCCGCAUAUUCAGUACGAGUUAACUAUAAAUAAUCACGGGGAACCGCCUAAAUACUUAUCGCUGUCUAAGCCUCUAACACACCAAAGGACGCACGCUUUUGAUCCGCAACAUUUUAAAUUUAAUGAAAUUAAUAACAAUUACUAUAACGAUAAUAAUUUUUCUACAUUUAAAUCUGACCCAAGACAUAGAAAGUCUAAUAGAAGUAAUCGACGAAAUAAUAAAAAUGAACAAAGUUACUCAUGUCAGAGCAACCAAGAUGUUAAGUAUUCCAUUAACCCACAAUUCGGAGUGGUUAGAGCUUCUGAGAAUAAUCACACGACUGAUGCACAAAAUAAAAACAACCCUCGUAAUAGUUUUUAUAAUAAGGGUCGAAUAUACGAACGAAAUAAUUCGGGAAGAAAGAAUAAUGUUGUCAGGAAAACCCAAGAUAAAGAUAAUGAUUUUAAAAGGAUUGGCCCUAAAAGAGCUUCAAAUGGAAGUAAAAAAGUUAAAAAUUUCGAAGUCCACAAUGAACCAGUGCAAGAGAAUGAAAAAGAACGUUCUUUUGAGGAACUUAAAGCGGAGCAAAAAGUACAAGACACAAAAACAAACUCGAUGCCUCGACCUGGAAAGGUUAAAGAGAUUGCAUCAAGAUUUAAUAGGAACAGUAGUGAAAAUUUGAGACAAUCGGUGAAAGAAAAAGUUGAGAGACCAAAGCCUAUACAGAGCUACGAUCAAGCUUAUUUGGAUCAUGUGUUCCCAGACGCUGUAGAAAUUUAGAAUUAUUGUGUAAUGUACGAGGAACAAUAAAUAGAUCUCUUAGUGUUAUGUGCUGUUCUGAGUGAUGAAUCUUUAAGUGUAAAUUUAAAAACAUUUUAGUACUUCUAAUCUAUAGGAUAUUUAUUGACGAAACUGCCUCUUUAUCACCUUAUACAUAAUUGCAGUCUUGCUAAUAUUAUUAUAUGAUAUAAAUCAUGGCCAUAUUGUUUUUAUGAUACAGUAGAUUUUAGAAUAAGAACAUUUCAUGACGUUUACUAAACUCAGCACAAAGACGCUUUUAUUAUUAGAUUUAUGAUAUAUUGUCUAUUUUAAUAACUUCACGUUAUUAUUUUUAUAUUUAACAUCUCGUGUACUUAAAUAUAAUUGAUUUUUAUUUAUUUGUGAUCAAAUAUCUUGCUUUUCAAUAGUUUUAUGGUUCGUUACUGUUCUAUCUAUAACAUGUAUAGUUUCUUUUUGUAAUGUUUUGUAUUGUUGAAUUUUAACUGUAUUAAAUUUAUAAUUUAAAAA